CCCAUGUCUGUUUCAUAGGAAAAAAAAAAAAGAGAGGGGAUGGGGGAGGGGAGGAGAAAGCUUACUGAGAAAGAAAAUCAGGCUCAGUUCAACAAAGGCACUACAUAACAGGGUUACGAAUUCAGAACUCUUGACAGUUUUUUGUUUUGAUUCAAACUAGAACCCACCUCCUCUUAUCCUCCACAGUAGAGGAGAGAUGGAAUAACUCAGCAAUGCAAAACUCACUUGAGAUGCGCUUUAACUGUGGUGGAGGCAGGGGGCAAGGGUUAAGGUAUGCACGGACAUCUGACACUUUUCCACAUUCUCACUUGGGAGGCCAGUGUGUGGCUAAACUGGAGGAUAAUUCGUGAUGAAAUAGGUGUUCUGCUUACCCUAUCCCAGGACACCUAAGGGAUGAGUAGAAGGUAAUGGACCCAGUUUCAGCCACCUAUAAGGUUGGGCUUCCUUCAUUUGUUGUAAUAUGUGGUUUAUAAAACAAGAGCCAAGCUCUGGGGAGAUUUCUCAGUGAAGGCACCUGUUAUGCAGGCCUGACAACUCAAACGGCCAGGAUCCAUGUGAAAGGUAGAAGGAGAUCCGAACUAACUCCAUGAGGUUGUCUUCUGACCUAUUUACAUGUACACUGGUCUGUGCACAUGUACGUGAUACCUCCCUACACACACUCACACAAUAAUAGUGUAUAAAAGGAAAAUAAGACCAGAGAGAAAUAAGUCAGGCAAUUGGGUUAUCCAAAAGGGUGGCUUACAACCAUCUGUAAUGGGAUCCAACGAUGCCCUCUUCUGGCAGGCAGGUGUAUAUGCAGCAGAGCGCUCAUAAAUGAAUUAAAUAAAAUUACAUAGAAAAUCAAAUAAAAUAAGCAAAUCAAAAAGUGGUGGAAGUUGGACAGAUCUAAGGAAGAGCAAAAGGUAACCUUUGACUUCCACCUAGGCAUACACAUAUAUACACAGUCUGCACAGACAUCCUGUUCAUUCGCUCCUUCUGCCCUUCCCAGUUCACAGACAUUGCAUUCAUCUUCGUUCGUGUGUGUCCUUUCCUGCUGUGGCUCACAUCUCCCCACUGCUCUCUGAUCCUGGUACCACUACUUCAUUGUAGCUUGUAUUGGUGCUCACCAGACCCUAGGCAGAAGGCUCCUAUCUGUACCCCAUUGCCCUCAACCCCACUUCUCCAGACUGCCCUGUAUUUUGAAAUCAGGGUUACUUUCUUCAAGCCUAGCCUCAAACCUACCAUCGCAACUCUGAAGCCUUCAGCAGCCCAUGGAAUGCCAAAGAAAGUGACAAUGUCUCACUGUGUCAUUUAGGAUUUUCCACAGUCUAGAGUAAAAAGCGGACGAUUUUUUUUCCUUCAUGUGUACAUGUGUGUGGUGUAUGUUGCAUGUGUAUAUGCAUUUUUAUGGGAACAUAUGUAUGCUUGGGGGGGCUGAAUUAAAUAUCUGGAAUCUUCCUCAAUCACUCUUCCACCUUAUUUUUGAGGCAGGGUCUUACAAGGAUUCAUUCAGUCCCUGGCCAGUUGGGUCUUGAGAUUCACUGUCUCUGUCUUCUAAAGCUGUAAUUACAGGUAGAUGGCUACCCAGCAUUUAUGUGGGCUCUGGCCACUUGCCUGUGUAUAUGCUUUAAACCCUGACCCAUCUCUCCAUCCCAUUGCAUUGUGGGGGUGGGAAGGCACAGGAUAUUCUGUAGCUCAGACUGGCCUUGAACUCACUAUACAGCUAAGAAUGACUUUAAAUUUGUAAACUACCUCCCUCUCCCUCCCAAGAGUUGGUAUGACAGGUGUGCUCCAACACAUCUUGCUUACACAGUGAUGAAGAACAAACUCGAGGCUUUGUAUGUUCAAGACACUCUACCAACUCUGCUACAUCCCAGGCCCAAAUAAGGAGAGAUGCUGAGCUCACUGGACGGCACCACACACAUCCAAGGUUCCAUACACUGAAAUCCUGCUGCUGAAAUGAAGUCCCAGAUAGGUCAUACCACUACUGCUGCUAUCCUCAUACUACUGAAUUAGACUGCUGGUGUAUCCCUGAAGUGUUUGGGAGUGGAUUGAGCUGCCUCUGCUAACCUGUGAACUGACCUGCCAAUUUCCAGACAACACAAAUGGGAGUUGCUCCGAAGAACCUUUCUAAACAGCAGGAAGGUUCAUCUAGCUUCCAGGGUUCAGCAGAUUAGAGACCUCUCAUGCAAAACUGAGCACAUUCUUCUCAGCUGGGCCAAGAUUGGUGCCCAUGCAGCAAUCAAGGUCUCCAGCCUCCUCGGAAUGUUGAGCCUCCACUCCUGGCCUUGACCGUGCAGGGAGCAGGACCCCCACUGGCUCAUGGCUCAGUGCUGCCAUCAGUAAAUGCCAGUAAUGUACUGGCAUUUACCUAUGAGAAGUUUGGGAUGAUAUCCCUCAAUUCCAAGAGAUCCUUCCUCACUAUUCUAAGGGAAGCUGCCUUUGCCUUAUGGCAGGGCAGGCCAAGGUAAGUCUGUGUCCCAUUGGAUCCCAAGGAAACUUGUACAUGGCCUGUGCUGCUUACCUGGACUCCCCAAUGCUGGACAGAACUCCCAUGAGGAGAGAAGGCUAGCACCUUGCUUGGUCCAAGUAUGGGAAGUAGAGGGACUGUCUGUCAAGGGUACCAUGCUUACCAGGAAGUAUUGCUUUAGAGACACUUGUAGGUCCUUCUCUGAUAGAUGCUUGAACUGAGAAAAACCCCACAGACUGGCCCCAUAUUACUUUCCUUUCUGUCUAUCAAUAUGAUAAAACAUUGACAAAAACUUUGGGGGGAAAGGGUUUUUUUUUUUUUUGCAUUUCAAGUUCCAGUUCCCAUCCUUUACAGAGCAAAGUCAGAGCAGGGGCAGAGGCAAGAACAGUCAAAGGCCAGCUUCGACAUCCAGGGUAAACUGAGGCAAGGCGUAGAGUUGGCGAUUGAUCACUCAGCAGGUUUCUCUCUGAGGAAACAAAGCUUGAUUCUCUGAGGCUGGUGAGAAACUCUCUGGGGCUGUGCUCUCUGGGGGCUGGUGGAAAGGGUGAGGGAACAUGUACACACACACACACACACACACACACACAUGCACACACACACACAUACACACACACACACACACAUACACACACACACACACACACACAUACACAUACACACACACAUACACACACACACACACACACACACACACACACACACACACACACACACACAGCAUAUUUGGUGAAUGAAACAAAGCUCCAAGCAACUUUAUUUUUUCCUCUUAGCCUUUUCAUACCACCUAAGACAAAAAUUGUCUAUGGAAGAAAAAAGAUUAGCUCAUAGCCACAAGUGACAUAUUCUAUAGAAACAAUCACCAUAAGAACAUAUUCUUUAAGAGCAGACUAAAAUCAUUACACAAAAGGAAAUCACAAUAGGAUUAUUGCUUAUGUAUUCUUCUUUGAAACUUAUACUUACCUAAACAUCUUCCAUCUAUCUUUCUCUCAUUGUAAACCAAAACAAUAAUUCUUUUGUCAUUAACAAAGUUUAAGCAAGUCAGCCUAUAGUAGCAAGUUUUUGCCUCUGUGUAGCUGAUGACAAUUUGUAUUUAUGAAGAAACAGAUCAUCAUCUAUCUUACAUCUUAUUUUUGAAGCCUUGUUCAGCUAAACUGGCUAAUGUUCUAUUCUCUGUUCUUCACUCAGAAUUAUUUACUCUUUACUCAUAACCCCAUCUUUCCAUGGUGCACACUGAUCCCUGUGGUCACAGCCACAGACCACAAGAUCCAGGAACUCUGUGGUCACAUCCACAGACCACAAGAUCCAGGAACUCAAACCCAACCUAGAAUGAAUCUUUCUUUGAUUAUUAACUUGUUCCAAGCCUAUUUUUUCUUCCAACUACAAAUACAUGUUCGUAACGCAUGAAAGCUUACUGGACUCCUUUUCUAACCUAUACAGCUGUAACUUUAAAGUUUUAAAAGCCUACGUCAAAAAAAAUGCUGAAGCAGAUACAGGAGAGAGGAUGUUCUGCUAAAGUAAGCGCGUGAAGGGACACGUGAUGAAGGAUUCCUUGCUAACAACACGCAUGUAUUGGUCCACUUUACAUUGUGUAGCUGAGCCGCUGAUGUAGCAAUGAUGUAAUGAUGUCAGCUGAGACAGACUCACACGGAGUUUUGCUAAGUCAGACUCAUGGGCUGAGGUAAGCGGUGGAGGACACAUGAUGUUUGGAGGGAGUAUAAGUAGAACCCAAUGGACAGUGAUGGAGGCUGAGCUUGGCUUGAUGAUAGAGCUAGUUGUACAACGCUCGUUCUUGCAUCUUCACAUCUUCACUAAUCUUGGCUUCUCUGAGAGAGGCACAGCCAAGAACUUCUGGUGUUCCCAUUGGCUCAGGUCCCUCCUGCUGACUCCUGCUGACUCCGCUGAGGCCUGGCUGUUUCUGCUAGGUCUUGCCACCACUGCUGCUAUCCUGACAUUACUGAACUGGACUGCUGGUAUAUCCCCGAAGUGUAUAUGAGUGGAUGGAGCUGCCACUGCUAACCUGUGAACAUAACUGCCAAUUUCCAGACAACACAAUCCUUUCCUUUCCACUACCUCUGUUAGGUGGUGGGCUAAAAGGGGGAUUAAAGCAUUUAAGAACCAUUAUUAAAAGUAGACUUUGGGGGCUGGUGAGAUGGCUCAGUGGGUAAGAGCACCCGACUGCUCUUCCAAAAGUCAGGAGUUCAAAUCCCAGCAACCACAUGGUGGCUCACAACCAUCCGUAACAAGAUCUGACUCCCUCUUGAGUGUCUGAAGACAGCUAUAGUGUACUUACAUAUAAUCAAUAAAUAAAUCUUUAAAAAAAAAAAGAAAAAAAAAAAGUAGACUUUGGAAAAAUUGAAGUUAUACUAUCACACCAGACUAUAGGCAGUGAGGGUCUCUCCUCACCUAAUCACACCAUGUUAGAUACAUUAAGAAAGUAGCAAUGCCCACAUGAGAAGGCACAGCAGUAGCAAGAGGCAACCCAGAGACAAGCCCCCCACCCCCUCUCUACCCAGGCAGGGUCUCUCCGGGUAUAUCCAUUGCAGCUUUGCAAAAUGGGGGCCUAUCUCCAGAAAGCUUCCUUGCCUACUCUUGUUCCUCCUGCAUGGUGUCCGACAAGGAACCGUGGAAGAAAGUUGCUUCCUGGCUUGCUCUCCAUAGUGUACUCAGCCUGCUUUCUUACACAAUCGAGGACCACAUGCCAUGUACAGUGGACUGGGCAGGCACUCCCACUUCAACUGGUAGUCAAGAAAAUGCGCCACGGAUUUGCUUGCAGGCAGAAAUAAGGGAAUCCCUCUAUGAAGGUUCCCUCUUCGAAGAUGAUUCUAGGUCUGUCAAGUAAACAACAGAAUACAAACAAAUACACGAAAACCAAACCCUCACGAGCCUCUAAGCAGGAGUGGACUACAUUGGAGCACAAGGAAGAGGGGAUGGAGAGAACAUUGUAAGGUCCCUCUUCAGGUCUUUACACAUUGGGCCUUGCGUUUUCCUUUCCAGCUGUGUCCCUUCAUUCAUUUGCACCCUUUCCUUGUUCUGCUCUCAGCCUUCCUGUACACCAGUGGUUCUCAACCUGUGGGUCGCAAUCCCCACAGGGAUAUCAGAUAUCCUGCAUAUCAGAUAUCUACACUACGAUCAAUAACAGCAUAACUACAGUUACAAAGCAGGAACAAAACUAAUUUUAUGGUUGGGGGUUACCACAACAUGAGGAACUGUAUUAAAGGGUUGUGGCAUUAGGAAAGUUGAGAAUCACUGGCUUUUACUAUAACCGUACAUCAUGCUCUCCCUUCUCUAUCUUCUUCACUCCCUUCCUCUCCAGGUACCUUUGUCCUCUCCUGCCUCUGCCUUCCUUGCAGAGCUGAUGGUUCUCAGCAGUGAGGUUCAGGCUGGAUGAUGACAUUCUCUUGUCAAGUGGAUCCAGCCAGCCCAUCUAUACACUGGGUCCAUGCAGCAUGUGCACACAGCAGGAACUGUGAUGUAAACGUAAGUCAGAUUCCUCCCACAGUGACUUCCAGUCUAGUUGGGAAGGGAAAGCACAGCCAUGAAAAGGAAAUGAGCAGUUGACUGCGGUGGUGCACGCUUGCAAUCCUAUCCUAUGGGAGGUAGAACAGUUUUCUACCAAAGACUAUAUCAAUAGAUGAUACAAAAUGGAAGCCAGGGCCUUGCAAAUGCUAGGCAAGUCCUCGACCACUGAACUAUAUCCCCAGGAUGCUAAACCAGAAUUUUGAACUCUGCAGGAUCCCCUCAGAAAAAGAACAGGGGGAAAAUAUGUUUCCAUAUUCUUCUAGCCAUUUUUGAAGAACUAUAAAUAUCUUAAUACCAAUUCCAAAGGUUAUUGAAAUGCCAUUCAUGAUGUAUUAGAUGCUCAUGCAGAGAUGGCUGUUUGACACUUACCAUGUCAGGAAUUUUACACGCCUUGGCUUCUUUUUAAAAUUUGUAUCUGUAUGAGUGCUUUGACUGCAUGUAUGUCUGCACACCAUGUGUAUGCAGUAUGUAGAGAAGGCAGAAAAGGGAAUUAGAUCCUCUGGAACUGGGUUACAGACAUUUUUGAGCAGCCUAGUAUUGGCACUGGGCACCAAACCCAGAUCCUGUGUAAGAGCAGCCUGUACCUGUGCCCUCAACUGCUGAGCCACCUCUCCAGCUGUCUCCUGGUUUUCAGCUGUAAAAAUGACAUUGCUCGUUCUUGACUAUUUUAAUUUCUGUGGAUGUGUGUGUGGGUGCCCACAGAGGAGUCGGAUCCUCUGGAGCAGGAGUUUCACACAGGCAGUUGUCAACCUCCAGGUUUGUGCUUAGAACUGAACUUGGCUCCUCUGAGAGAAGCACUCCUUGUGGUUUAGCAAUCUCUCCAGCUCUAAAUGCUUGAGCUUAUACAGUUUUGUUUUGUUUGUUUAUUUGUUUUGGUUGGUCUUUUGUUUGUUUAUUCCAGAUUUUAUUUCAGAUAAUUUCCCAUGAAUUGUGCUCUUCAUUCCAGAGGUUUAAAAAAAAUGCCUUUACCAAAAGUGUGCCUUUUUAUAUGUGCAUGAGUGCUUCGUGUAUGUCUGUGGGCUACUUGAACGCCCCGUGCUUCUGUAGGCCAGAAGAGGAUGUCAGAUCCUCCUAGAACUGGAGUAAGAGGUUGUAAGCUGUUAUGUGGGUGCUGGGAAUUGAACCUGGGUUGUCUACAAGAGCAGCCAGUGCUGUUAACCACUGUGCAACCCCUCCAGCCCCUACCUUAGGUUUUGGUAAUUUACCAACAACUUGACUAUCAGAUAUCAAUAAUAAAAGGCCCUGCUAUUUUUUUUUGGUAUUAACCUUAAAUCAUAGUAAUUGUUUAUAUUUGAUGUCUUUAUGAUGAUCACACAGCCACAUUACCUUCAAAUAAUGAAACUUCAACCUCUAAGUUCAUACCUGUUCAUGUACUCUGUCGACCAGGCAGGUUGAGACUUACAAAAAGCUAUUGUGUAGAUGAGCAGGUAAUAUCACUGAGUUCGGCUGUUCAUGUGGAAGGAGCUUUUGGGAAUCAGUUUUUCUUUGUUUUAAGGCAUGGUCUCCUGGCAGUAACCCUGCAGCAGGAGGAGUUGCAGUCAGUAUGGGAGCAUGAAGAAAACAGCUCACCUGUCAGCAGAGCCACUGUGGGUAUACCUUUGAUAGGCAGAGCCCUGAUGGUUGGGUCCUGAAGACUCCUCAUUAUUGCUAACCUUUACUGCACUAGUUGCUGCCUUGGUCACUCUGGUCUUUUCUUUUUCUUUUCUUUCUUUCUUUCUUUCUUUCUUUCUUUCUUUCUUUCUUUCUUUUCUUUUUUUUUUUUUGCUUUUGCCUUGUAUGAAUAUUCUUGGGGGCGGUUUCUAAUUCCCCACUGGGCAAUGCAAUCACAAAGCAUAACAACAGUGAUGAUUUCCCAAAAAAGCAUUACCAGUCAGAGAGUUUAAUAAUUUAGCAUAAGAUUUCUGAGAAAAGGGCUGGUGAGAUGGCUCAGUGGGUAAGAGCACCCGACUGCUCUUCCAAAGGUCCAGAGUUCAAAUCCCAGCAAUCACAUGGUGGCUCACAACCAUCUGUAAUGAGAUCUGAUGCCCUCUUCUGGUGUGUCUGAAGACAGCUACAGUGUACUUACAUAUAAUAAAUAAAUAAAUCUUAAAAAAAAGAUUUCUGAGAAAAAAAAUUAAAAUAUGUAUGGUUAAAAAGAUUAAGGCAAGGUGCUUUUUAUGUACAAUUAAUUAAAUCAGGUAAGAGUGUUUUGUCAGCUGCUUUGUAGCAGGGAACAUAAAACAUUCUUAGUUAUUGAAUGAAAGGCGUGCUAAGGUUAGGAAGCAAAAACAAGGCAAGUCCAGUUGCUAAGGGCUCAUGAGUUUCACUUACAAGGGACAGGCUAAUGAUCAAAGAAGUAAUUGAGUUUCAGUGCCCACUAUUUAGAUUGAGUUUCUGUGUCCAUUUGUAAAAUUUGGUUGUUCUAGUUUUAUAAGUAUAAGUUUGCUGAUGAGUUCUGGUGUGCAUCUUGAGGACUUAGUGCUGUGCAGCAUAUAGACUGGAUAGAUUCUUCUUUUCCUGUCCUAAAGUUCUCUAGACAACUAUCCAUUUGCUUUGCAAACAAUUUAUAUGAAAACGAUAUAAGAACAGGUAGAAGGUUAACUGUGUCAGAUGAAUAAGAAUUGUGUUAAGUUAGAAUAACAUGACGUUGGGCUGGAGAGAUGGCUCAGUCGUUAAAAGCUAGGCUCAACAACCAAAAAUAUAAGAAUAACAUAACAUCUACUUCCUUGCUUGGAACUGCAAACUGCUACCUGUCAGUACAAGAUAAACUGGCUGUUAAAAAGAUUUGGCUUGCUCAAAUUCUGUUAAUUUAUAAUAGAAAAACUAUUACUUUAGGACCUAGAUGUGUUAUGGGGGAAAAAUCACAUGAGAGGCUGAGUGAUCAGAUGUAGGAUUUAGAAUAACUUGUUUUUUAAAAAUAUAAAACCUGGGGGCUGGAGAGAUGGCUCUGUGGUUAAGAGGUCCUGAACUCAAUUCCCAGCAAUUACAUGAUGGCUCACAAUUAUCUGUAAUGGGAUUUGAUGCCCUCUUCUGGCAUACAAGUGUACAUGUGUGAAGUCUGAUUGUGAUUUCUGCUGUUAAACAUGUUGUUAUGCAGAGGGGACUGGGGUCUCAGCCAGAUCAAGUGCCCUACAUUCUCAUCUGGGAAAAUUUAGCGCAGGACCCCCCCAUCCUGGUUGAAGCCUUGGGUUCAGAGGAACAAGCCGGGCUCCCGAGUCUUGGCUCUCUGCCACUCAGAGAAAAAAAAAAAAAAAAAAAGAUAAAAACGGCGGGGGCUGAACUGCAGCCCUUGGCUCCUCCCAGGAUCUAUCCAGAGAUAGAAGAACCUCCAGAAUGGCGUAACACCCCACCCCCAUAUCCCCAACUAGUCCCCUCCCAGAUCUCUUAACAGGGUGCCGCUGGAGAUGGGGAGGGACCAGCUGCUAGAACCUGAGGCUGGCGAGCUCGGAGCCCAGAGGGACCAGACUCAACCAUCGUGCUGCCUUUACGUACUUAUGACCCUCCUCCAGCAGACCCUGGACAACUGCAGCCCCUUCAGUACUGGCCUUUUUCCUCCUCUGAUCUUUAUAAUUGGAAGGCAAACCAUUCCCCCUUCUCUGAAAACCCCUCUAGCCUUACUAAUCUAAUGGAAUCUCUCAUGUUCUCUCAUCAGCCUACUUGGGAUGAUUGUCAGCAGCUUUUACAGGUUCUUUUCACCACAGAGGAGAAGGAAAGGAUUCUGCUAGAGGCAAGAAAGAGCGUGCUGGGGGCCAAUAGACAGCCGACACAACUUCUGAAUGAAAUAGAUGCAGGCUUCCCUAUGACACGUCCUGACUGGGACCCUAACAGGCCUGAAGGUAGGGAGCGGUUGACAGUUCUCCGCUGGGCUCUGGUAGCUGGACUGAGAGGAGCUGGCAGGCGCCCCACCAAUUUGGCCAAGGUAAGAGAGAUCCUACAAGAGGAAAAGGAGCCCCAAGCAGUGUUUUUAGAGCGCCUCUUAGAAGCAUACAGGUGUUACACUAACUUUGACCCUACGUCAGAGGGCCAGUAGGCGGCAGUGGCCAUGGCUUUCAUCGGGCAAUCUGCUUCUGACAUUAGCAGAAGGUUACAGCAUCUAGAGAGUCUGCAAACAUUAUCUUUAUAAGAUCUGGUUAAGGAGGCAGAGAAAGUGUACUAUAAGAGAGAGACUGAAGAAGAAAAAAGAGAAAGAGAAAAGAGAGAGGCUGAGGAAAGAGAAAGUAGAUGAGAUAGAAGGCUGGAAAGAAAUUUAACUAGGGUUUUGGCUACAAUUGCAGGUGAUAAGGAAGUUUAUAGAAAAGGUGGAAGAAGUAGGCAGACAGGGUACCUGGGCACCACAGGGGCGUGAAGACCUCAAAACUCCAGAGGACCUUCACGACCACCUCUAGGUAAGGACCAAUGUGCAUACUGUAAAGAAAAGGGACACUGGGCAAGAGACUGCCCCAAGAAAGAGACAGAUACCAGACCGCCCAAGGUCCUUACCCUAGAGGAUGAGGACUAGUGGAGCCGGGGCUCAGACCCCCUCCCCGAGCCUAGGGUAACCCUAACUGUGGAGGGGACCCCCACGGAUUUCCUUGUUGAUACCAGAGCAGAGUUUUCAGUCCUGAAAGAGCCACUGGGGAAAUUGAGGAACAAAAAAAUAAAACUGUAGUAAUUGGGGCUACUGGUCAGAAACCAUACUCUUAGACCACUGAUAAGAAAGUUGAUUCAAGAAGCCAAGUAACUCAUUCCUUCCUCGUCAUUCCUGAAUGCCCCACCCCACUGUUAGGGAGAGACUUACUAUCAAAAGUAAAAGCCCAAAUAAGCUUCUCUUUGGAAGGAACUCCAAUCUCUUGGCAAGCCCCUAUCUCUAUAAUUUUAGCUUUAAAAUUAGAAGAAGAAUAUAGAUUACAUGAGCCUCAAGCCCCAUCAAGAAAAGUACUAGAAGGGACCUGGUUAGAGAGAUAUCCUCAAGCCUGGGCAGAGACUGGGGGUAUGAGAGAGACAAAGAUGGUGCCCCCCAUCGUUGUGACGCUGAAAACUGGUGCAACUCCUAUUGAUCCUUUUGAUCCCUCGAAAGGUAAGGUCUAGGUCCUUGCUCAACAUAGAAGCCUCAGAAGUUUCCAGCCCUUUGCAACCCUUAAGGGAUCAACAUUUCAGAGUAGGAACAUGAGGCAGGAUAGAAAGGGACAAUUAUAGGGACAUAGGAAAGAAACCCCUCCCCCUGGAGUCUGACUGAAGCCUCUCUCCAGUUGAGAAGAACUGCAGCACAAUUAAUAACUUGCUGUAAAAGUUGUCAACAUUAAUAAUAAUAUUCCUGGGCUGGUGAGAUGGCUCAGCGGGUAAGAGCACUAACUGCUCUUCUGGAGGUCAUGAGCUCAAAUCCCAGCAACCACAUGGUGGCUCACAACCAUCUGUAAUGAGAAACAAAUAAUAAUAAUAAAAAGAAAAUUCCUUUAUAUCUAGAUAUGUUAAGAUAGCAAUGAACCAGGUUUAAGGCCUAAAUGUGUAGGGCCUUGAGUAGGGACUGAACAUUUUCUAGAAAUCUCAAAUAAGACAAUUAACAUUCAGAGUGAAAAUCGCCUACCUAGACUUUUACCUUACCACUGUAAUCUGGAUGACAAUCCCCCCAGAUAUGUUAUCAUUUAUGUUUCUUGCAACCUUUAAAGAUAGCAACUUCAAACCCUACUGUACCCUAGCUUUAUGCUGACUUGACUCAGGCUGGAGUCAUUAGAGAGCCUCAAUUGAGAAAAAUGUCUCUGCAAGACUGAACUGUAGGCAAGCCCGUAGGGCAUUUUAUUAGUGAUUUAUGGGGAGGAGACAGCCUAUCAUGGAUGGUGCCACCAUGGGCUGGUAGUCUUGGGUUCAAUAAGGGAAUGGGCUGAGCAGGCCAUGGAGAGUAACCCAGGAAGUAGCACUCCUCCAAUGGACUUGGUAUCAGCCCCUGCCUCCUGCCCUCACUGCUUUUGAUGAACUGUUAUAUGGAACUGUGAGUGGAAUAAAACCUUUCCUCUUCAAGUAACCUUUGGUCAGGGUGUCUCAUAAAACCAACAGUAACCCUAAGACACCUACCAAAAUCUUAUAUAUGACUAUUGUAACAGAAAAAAGAAGACUCUUUGAGAAGUCUACACCCACACUCUCAGAUGUGUCUUCGUUUCUUCAGAGUGCCUCUAUUUUUCUCUUAACCCUCAUGUUUAUGCCUAUAUCAAAUUAUCUUUAUUAAACCCUUACUUUACUUCAUAAAAAUAAAAAUGACUUUAGAUUUUUUAAAAUUUUUUAUUAUGCAUUUCAUAACAUGCGCAUAGUAUAUAAUAUGCUGCAUAGCCUUCUAACAGGAACAGAUGACCAUAGCUGAGUAAUUUCUUUUAAUCAGCCAGGAAAAUGCUUCCUUAGUCAAUGUUUUCCAGGCCCUGUAAAACAGUAUGAAAAGGAGAAUGUGAGGAUUCUGUUCCCAUCAAAAUGUAGCAUGCUGUUUAAUUUCCAGUGUCACAGAAUGGCAUUCUGUUAUUAAAACAAGCGAUUUCACAUCCCACAAUUCUCUAACUGCAACAACAGAAACUAAAUUGACUUCAUAAUCAUUAAAGAAUGGCCACUAAAUGACGUCGCCCCCGACCCCAGACAGGUUCUUACUCCAUAGGCCUGGUUGGCCUCAAACUCAGAGAUUUACUUGCCUCUGCCCCUAGAAUGUUAGGAUUAAAGGUGUGUGACACUACA